UGAGAUAUUAAACUGUGUGAUUAUGUUGAACUAUUGCUUUUAAGAAUGUUGUAUAACCAGCAGAGUGUUUUUGCAGAAGUUGCAGUUUGUGUCUGAGUGCAAACUGUGGAUUAUGCAGUGUUAUGAUGUUUAAUUAUACUUUUAUACAUGUUUUAUUAUACUAUGUGUACGCCAAAAGAUGUGUGAUGUUUGACAGCUAUAUACAACACAGUAAUCAUUAGAAUUGUGCCUCAGGACUGCUAUGAAAGUAUAACUAACGUGCUUUGCAAAAGAGUUACAGAAAAGCAGGGCUUGUGGUCUGAACAUACUGUGCAGGUUGGGGAUGGCACCCAGCUACCAGCGAGAGCGAGGUCAGGAUGCUCUCCAAGACAGUCAUAGGGAGGGGUGAGAUGAGAACAGAACAGAAGACUCAGGACCUGUUAUCAAACUUUGCUAUCAUGCUAGAGUAAAUCAGUUUUAAUUGCACUCUGCCUGUGCACAAAAAGGCAUAGCAACAGCUGACAAAAGAUGAUUGGUCACAACAAAUGUACUUUCCCUCUCUGUGUGAAUGAAUAAAACAAGCCUAAACUGUAAACGGGCAGAACUCAGCUGGGUGUGAUGGUGAACAGACUGCGGAGUCUGUCAAAGCUGUGUUCUCCCUCUUGCAACAGGUGAAACUGGAGUACUUGUCUUUGUCUUCUUUAAACUCAAUAUCUCUCUGCUCUACAUCAGGUCUACAGAAUUCGGGGUGGUUUGAAUCACCACAACACAACCUAUUGAAAUCGACGGAGGGAUACUGCAAGUGAAAGCUCAGUUGACUGUAUGAGGAAAAAAAAACUUCACUUGAUUUCGAAUCAGAGUCCGCAGACGAGACGGCUUCAGAGGGGUUUGAUCUUCACCUGCAAAGUCUUUGCCAACAGGACGGACUCAUUGGUCCUGGGCAUAUUUACCGGUGGCGCAGCCUCGGCCAAUCACAGCGGGAGACAGCCGUAAAAAGGCGGGCAGGACGCACCUGUGCGCGUCACAUCCUGAUGCCCACCACUUCCCCUUCAGUGUGGUAGGUGGGCUGUUGACCGCGGCUGUAGCUCCCUCAUGUUGCCUGUCCAGUACAGAUUAUUGUUUGUGUUAUUAGAGGUCGGAUUGGGUGUUUUUGGCUGCACGCUGCUCACCACCGUGGUUCCUGCUCGCUGCUCAUCUCUGGUGCGUCACUUCCACGCUGUGUUGUCCGGGACUGCCUGACAGGAUUGAAGAACCAUCCACAAAUCACUGCUGCUUUGCCUCCCGCCGUUGCUUUACCCCCCGGCGAACUGUUUGCCUUGGCUGGGUCCGUUUUUAACUUUUAUGUACAACUCGGUUGCUUAUCAUUGGGUCACUGCCGUAACCCUUGACUAUUUGCCGGCUGGCCCCGUGGUAGUGCAGUGCAGCGCAGCCGCGUCUUAAAGUGUGUCUGUGUGCGUGUGUGCGAGGGAACAGUGUGGAAGUUAAUUUUGUUCUGUUGUGUUUGUUGGUUUGUUUUCUUUUGGAGUUUGUUUAUUUGGUUAUUCUUAGUUGCUUUCUCAUUUAUGAUUAUAUAGAUUUUGUUUAUUUUUAUAGACUGCUGAAAGAUUAAAUUGAUUUCUUUCUUUGAUUACUUAGAUUUUGCUUAAUUUGUGUUUUAUUAUAGCUUGUGUUGUAGAUUUAAAUUGAGUUUUUGUGAUAAAGUACAAUUGUUUAAUUUUGUUUCUUUAUUCCUAAUCUGUUGUCUCUGGUCCCCUACAUCCAGGUGCUGAGCCUAUGGUGGUGGAUUGGUGUCCCGGUGGUGGUGUCCCUGUUUUUGUAUAUAUGGUUUGCACUCGUUUGGUUUUCCUUUAUGUUUGACUUUUCUUAAUAGCUUCAUGUGUGGUGUCCCUGGGAUCCCCGUUCUUUUGACCCGAUUGUCACAAUAGGUCGCAGCCCUGGUUGUCCCCUUCCCUCUUUUUAUAUCCAGAGUGAAUGAUUUUAAUGUUAGAGUUUUAAAAAGAAAAUUCAUUUGUAAUAAAAUAUUUGCAUCCUUGGACCACAGUCUCUGCCCUCCCUUGUAAAAUGGACCUGAGUGCUUUCUAUCUGAAAUCUGUCCAUUUAAAGAAAUCUCUGGGUGAAAUUCCCAGGGUGGCGUUGUCAGGCAAUUUAAUAAAAAUUUUUUUUAAAAAGCUGUGCCGUCUACAGAGCUGGCGCCGCCACAAUGAGUAAUCAGUGGAAUUCAAAACUAAACCCUGCCCAAUCCCAAAACUUCCGACACCAACCUUUUCUAGACACAAAAUACAAGGCAAGCUUUUGAAAGACACACACACAAAGCCGCCACGAUGCUCCUGCGGCUGCAGUUUAAAUGUCCUGGGCCAGGACAAUUGGACACAGCGGAUUGGCUAGGCCGGGGAGGAUGCAGAGGGCGUCGCACCAAUCCCAAACCUCUGGGCUUCCAGGAACCAAUCCGUUACCGGCCCCGGCACACCUGCAUUUACCUACUGGGAUAUAGACACAACAGACCUAAUGGGGUGAAACGUGACCGCAAUAUUAAAUUUGUUGUUUAAAUCAUCUCAACUUGAAAUGGAAAGUCUUAAAUCAACCAUAGUAAGUUUUUUUUUUUUUUUUUUUAACUAAAAAAAUUAAGUUACAACAAUGCUCAACUGUGUGUUUGUUCAACCAGCUAAUUAAAGUAUAUUAUGUUUGUUGUGGAGAAAUUGCUGAAGUCAAAGGUCAAUGGUGAGGUCAGGAGGGAAGAAAGUGUUCAGGAGCCUCUGAUGUCUUAUGCUGUAUUUACUGACGCUUGGCCAAGGAGAACUAGAGACACUCUCAAAGUACACCUGAAGUGCUUGAGUCGGUCUCGCAUUCUGAUGAACUCAUGCUGGUGGUCACACUUUAAACCCUCAUAGGGCCACAAAUACUUUACCAUGUACGUGUUUACCUUCAACACAUUCUUGUCUGGAGACACUGUUGUCUGUUCAUGCUAAUGGAACGU